UUGGAGGGCAAGUCUGGUGCCAGCAGCCGCGGUAAUUCCAGCUCCAAUAGCGUAUAUUAAAGUUGUUGCAGUUAAAAAGCUCGUAGUUGAAUUUCGGGGUCAGUAGGUUGGUCAUGCCACUGGUAUGUACUGGUCUCACUGAUUCCUCCUUCCUGAUGAGCCGUAAUGCCAUUAAUUUGGCGUUGCGAGGAAUCUGGACUGUUACUUUGAAAAAAUUAGAGUGUUUAAAGCAAGCUAACGCUUGAGUACAUUAGCAUGGAAUAAUGAAAUAGGACGUUCGAUCCUAUUUUGUUGGUUUCUAGGAUUGACGUAAUGAUUAAUAGGGAUAGUUGGGGGCAUUAGUAUUCAAUUGUCAGAGGUGAAAUUCUUGGAUUUAUUGAAGACUAACUACUGCGAAAGCAUUUGCCGAGGAUGUUUUCAUUAAUCAAGAACGAAAGUUAGGGGAUCGAGGACGAUCAGAUACCGUCGUAGUCUUAACCAUAAACUAUGCCGACUAGGGAUCGGAUGAUGUUAAUUUUUUAAUGACUCAUUCGGCGCCUUACGGGAAACCAAAGUGUUUGGGUUC
rnacentral:rRNA from 1 species